rnacentral:rRNA from 1 species
GACGAACGCUGGCGGCGUGCUUAACACAUGCAAGUCGAACGGAAAGGCCCUGCUUUUGUGGGGUGCUCGAGUGGCGAACGGGUGAGUAACACGUGAGUAACCUGCCCUUGACUUUGGGAUAACUUCAGGAAACUGGGGCUAAUACCGGAUAGGAGCUCCUGCUGCAUGGUGGGGGUUGGAAAGUGUCGGCGGUUGGGGAUGGACUCGCGGCUUAUCAGCUUGUUGGUGGGGUAGUGGCUUACCAAGGCUUUGACGGGUAGCCGGCCUGAGAGGGUGACCGGCCACAUUGGGACUGAGAUACGGCCCAGACUCCUACGGGAGGCAGCAGUGGGGAAUAUUGCACAAUGGGCGGAAGCCUGAUGCAGCAACGCCGCGUGCGGGAUGACGGCCUUCGGGUUGUAAACCGCUUUCGCCUGUGACGAAGCGUGAGUGACGGUAAUGGGUAAAGAAGCACCGGCUAACUACGUA